CGCCAGACUCCUACGGGAGGCAGCAGUGAGGAAUAUUGGUCAAUGGGCUUACGCCUGAACCAGCCAAGUCGCGUGAGGGAAGACUGCCCUAUGGGUUGUAAACCUCUUUUGUCAGGGAGCAACGCCGGCUACGUGUAGCCGGACUGAGAGUACCCGAAGAAAAAGCAUCGGCUAACUCCGUGCCAGCAGCCGCGGUAAUACGGAGGAUGUGAGCGUUAUCCGGAUUUAUUGGGUUUAAAGGGUGCGUAGGCGGGCUGUUAAGUCAGCGGUAAAAUGUCGGGGCUCAACCCCGGCCUGCCGUUGAAACUGGCGGCCUCGAGUGGGCGAGAAGUAUGCGGAAUGCGUGGUGUAGCGGUGAAAUGCAUAGAUAUCGCGCAGAACUCCGAUUGCGAAGGCAGCAUGCCGGCUCCACACUGACGCUGAGGCACGAAAGCGUGGGUAUCGAACAGGAUUAGAUACCCUAGUA
rnacentral:rRNA from 1 species